CGGCGGACGGGUGAGUAACGCGUGGGUAACCUGCCUCAUACAGGGGGAUAACGGUUAGAAAUGACUGCUAAUACCGCAUAAGCGCACAGUACCGCAUGGUACGGUGUGAAAAACUCCGGUGGUAUGAGAUGGACCCGCGUCUGAUUAGCUAGUUGGUGAGGUAACGGCCCACCAAGGCGACGAUCAGUAGCCGACCUGAGAGGGUGACCGGCCACAUUGGGACUGAGACACGGCCCAG
rnacentral:rRNA from 1 species